AGUGAACGCUGGCGGUAGGCCUAACACAUGCAAGUCGAACGGCAGCACAGAGGAGCUUGCCCCUUGGGUGGCGAGUGGCGGACGGGUGAGGAAUACAUCGGAAUCUACUCUGUCGUGGGGGAUAACGUAGGGAAACUUACGCUAAUACCGCAUACGACCUACGGGUGAAAGCAGGGGAUCUUCGGACCUUGCGCGAUUGAAUGAGCCGAUGUCGGAUUAGCUAGUUGGCGGGGUAAAGGCCCACCAAGGCGACGAUCCGUAGCUGGUCUGAGAGGAUGAUCAGCCACACUGGAACUGAGACACGGUCCAGACUCCUACGGGAGGCAGCAGUGGGGAAUAUUGGACAAUGGGCGCAAGCCUGAUCCGGCCAUACCGCGUGGGUGAAGAAGGCCUUCGGGUUGUAAAGCCCUUUUGUUGGGAAAGAAAUCCAUCUGGUUAAUACCCGGGUGGGAUGACGGUACCCAAAGAAUAAGCACCGGCUAACUUCGUGCCAGCAGCCGCCGUAA
rnacentral:rRNA from 1 species